CUGGAUAGCUCAGUCGGGUAGAGCAACGGUACGCGGUGCCGUGUGUCGUGGGUUCGACUCCCACUCCAAACCU
rnacentral:tRNA from 1 species